CUUGCUGUUUGAAGUAUGGCUGGUCAGUAGGCACAAUCACCACCUGUAUGUUGCGGAUACCAUCCACCACUGAGAUGUUGGGUGAAAGGCAAUAGAAGUCCUGAUGGGGCUAUUUGAAAUUGGCCACACUCCCACAUCUGCUGUGGUGGUACUUAAACAUGACCUCCAAAUGGAAUAUGGACAGCAAUUUGUAUAUGCAUCAGCCAACAGGGAGAUUUACCCCGACCUGCCAUAUGUGCAAAGACUGUUCUGCAAGGUGUGUAGGGAGGAGUAUGGCACUAAAAAUGGUCCAACCAUGUUGGCAGCGAUGCAAAAUCAAGUGGAGAGCUACAACAAGAAGUGCAAGGACAGCUGUGCCCUAAUGGGAACAUCCUCCCAGGGAGCUCCUCUUGUUGCUGUGUGUUCUCCCUUGAUGAAGAAAGAGCACCAACUGAAGCAAAGUGGGGAGCUGUGUUUCAUAGAUUCCUCAGGCAAUAUGGACAGGGAGAACUGCAGAGUGUUUCUCCUGCUGACCCACAGCUGCACUGGUGGCCUCCUUCUAGGCAUUCUUCUCUGCCAGUUGGGGGAUGAGCAGACCAUUCUUGAAGGGCUGGAGCUAUUACAACAAAUAUUUGGAGAGAAGGAUUUUGCUGGCAGGGGACAGGCAGGACCACAGAUCAUUAUCAUAGGUGAAUGUAGGGCAGAGAGGGGAGCUCUGGGGCAGGCAUUUCCUGAUGCCACACUUUUCCUGUGGAGCAAGGAGAGUGGUGUGGACCACUGAAACAGACCAACUCUAUUCACAAUGGUCAAAGAAAUGCUGUACUGCAAAGAUGUAGCCAGGGUGGACAAGCUUUACAGCAAGGCAAGAGAACAUCCCCUUGCAGUCAGGUAUGAAAAAUACCUAAAGUACAUUGAACAGCUGUACAACAAUAGAGAGUGUUGGGCACUCAGUUAUAGAAGCAGUCUUCUCACCACAGGAAGCAACACCAACAAUUUUGUGGAAGCAGCAAAGUGUGUCCUCAAGGACAAGAUGCUGCAAAGGAGGCCUUGAAUCCUCCUCACUCUUCGAACUCCUUACAUCAAGGCUGGAGACCUACUACAAGACACACAUUGUUGAUGUUGCCCUUGGAUGCUGGGAAUCAUUCCAGAGAUCCAAAUUCCCUCCCCAAGAUGGCAACAUUGCAGCUACGCAAAUUCAGCAGAUUGCAGAGAAGUUCAUGGUGAAGGGAUCCACACAAACCUAUGUUGUGGACAUGGAGUUGGAGCCGUGUUCGUGCCCUGCAGGACAAACUCGGGCGCCAUGCAAACACCAGGCAGCAGUAGCUCAAGUCUACAGCUGUUUAUCCAACACUUUUCCUCCAGCAAGUCCACAGAUGACAGCAGAACUGCUCGAACUAACAUCGGGAGGUAAAGCCAAUAUUUUCACAAUAACUGAUAUAGUAACACUCCCAACAUUUCCAGUUUAAAUUGCACAAUAAGGGAUAGAUGCUUAAUUUUACUUCAAGUGGCCAAUUAGGCCACCAAGCCACUGAAUUUGGUGGCCAGAGCAAGUCAUUUCAUUGUUUAUUUGGGCCACCAAUGCUGUGUUUUUAGUGGCCACACAGUAGAAUUUAGUAGUCAAGGGCCACUGGGCCAUGAUUAAUGUUGAUCCCCCU